rnacentral:rRNA from 1 species
UACGGGGGGAGCAAGCGUUGUUCGGAUUUACUGGGCGUAAAGGGCGCGUAGGCGGCCACUGCAAGUCGGUUGUGAAAUCUCCGGGCUUAACCCGGAAAGGUCAAUCGAUACUGCAGGGCUAGAGUGCGGAAGGGGCAACUGGAAUUCUCGGUGUAGCGGUGAAAUGCGUAGAUAUCGAGAGGAACACCUGCGGCGAAGGCGGGUUGCUGGGCCGACACUGACGCUGACAGCGCGAAAGCUAGGGGAGCGAGCGGG